rnacentral:rRNA from 1 species
GACGAACGCUGGCGGCGUGCCUAAUACAUGCAAGUCGAACGCACUGACAGAGAAACUUGUUUCUCUUGACGUGAGUGGCGCACGGGUGAGUAACACGUGGGAAACCUACCCUUCAGCGGGGGAUAACCGUCGGAAACGAUGGCUAAUACCGCAUAGGUCUUUUAACCGCCUGGUUGAAAGAGGAAAGACGGCUUCGGCUGUCACUGAAGGAUGGUCCCGCGGUGCAUUAGCUAGUUGGUAAGGUAACGGCUUACCAAGGCGAUGAUGCAUAGCCGACCUGAGAGGGUGAUCGGCCACAUUGGGACUGAGACACGGCCCAAACUCCUACGGGAGGCAGCAGUAGGGAAUCUUCCGCAAUGGACGAAAGUCUGACGGAGCAACGCCGCGUGUGUGAAGAAGGUCUUCGGAUCGUAAAGCACUGUUAUUAGAGAAAAACAACCGGUAGAGUAACUGUUACCGGCUUGACGGUAUCUAACCAGAAAGCCACGGCUAACUACGUGCCAGCAGCCGCGGUAAUACGUAGGUGGCAAGCGUUGUCCGGAUUUAUUGGGCGUAAAGGGAGCGCAGGCGGUGACUUAAGUCUGAUGUGAAAGCCCACGGCUCAACCGUGGAAGGUCAUUGGAAACUGGGUCACUUGAGUGCAGAAGAGGAAAGUGGAAUUCCAUGUGUAGCGGUGAAAUGCGUAGAUAUAUGGAGGAACACCAGUGGCGAAGGCGACUUUCUGGUCUGUAACUGACGCUGAGGCUCGAAAGCGUGGGGAGCAAACAGGAUUAGAUACCCUGGUAGUCCACGCCGUAAACGAUGAGUGCUAAGUGUUGGAGGGUUUCCACCCUUC